rnacentral:lncRNA from 1 species
CUUUAACCUAUAAUAUUGGCAGAAAUGUUUACUGAAGCAUUAUUUACAAUAGUCAAGAUGUGGAAACAAUCCAGUGUCCAUUAACAGACAAGUGGAUAAAGAAAAUGAGGUGUAUACAUACAAUGGAAUAUUAAAAAUGAAGAAAAUUCUACCAUUUGAAACAACAUGGAUGGACUUAGAAGACAUUAUGCUAAGUGAAAUGUCAGUCACAGGAAGACAAAUACUGCAUGAUUCCACUUAUUUGAUCUAUCUAAAAUAAUAGAAGGAAAAACAUAGAAGCAGAAAACAGGUUGGUGGUUGCCAGCAGAGCGGAAGUGGGGGAAAUGGAGAAUUGAUGUACAAUAGGUAUAAAAUUUCAGUUAUACGUGAUGAAUAAGUUCUAGAGAUCUGCUGUACAACGUGGUACCUAUAGUUAACAAUAUGGCAUUAUGCACUCCAAAACUUGUUAAGAGCGUAGAGCUCACGCUGAGUGUUCUUAUCACACACAAAAAAGCAAAGGGACACAAAGAAUCUUUUGGAGGUUAAUGGAUAUAUUUAUUUCCAUGACUGCGGUGAUCGUGGCAAUGGUAUCACAGGUGCAUGCAUAUGUCUAAACUCAUCAAACUGUACAUAUUAAAUAUAUGCAGUUUUUUGUGUAUCAAUUAUAAUUCAAUAAUGCUAAAGGAAGUAUUUUUAAAAUACAUGCUCUUAGCCAAAAAGUGGAUAAACAGAAAUUUACAUAUAUUUUUGGUUAGAGGAUAAAUCAGUACAAUCUUUUAGAAGAGAAACUUGUCAGCAUCUUUCAAACUAAAUUUCAGAUACUCUUUUGACUUAGCACUUCAACUAUGUUAUAAAAGGCUCUUUGGAAUUCCUCAAAAGGGGUCUGACUUUCUAAGUGGAAUCUUCACCAAUCAACAAAGAAUUCAGGAUUCUCAGAGCUCCACGGUGGCAUUCAGAACACUCCUUGGCGACAGACUGGAGGCUUUGAGCAAACUGUAGCUGGUUAUCACCAUGAUGGACAGGCUUGCAUCCCUGAUUUCAAAGAGCUGUUCUACUGAAGGAAACAUGUGGACUACCUUCUAUAGUGCACUGGAAAUGGACAAGACUGAGGGACAACGGGGAGAACUUUUUGACUGCCUGGACAUAGAGGAUGAAGAAGAUGACCCUAUAUUUUAGGCCUAGGUAACUAGAAGAAUGAUGCUACAGUUGCCAGAGACAGGAAAGUAUAGAGAUGACACUAGGUGAGAGUGGGGAUGGGGAACAAGAUAAAUUCAGUUAAUAUUAUGGAACUAAAAAUAUAGUGAAAUUCUAGUUCAUGGGAACUGGAGUCAGAGAUUUCUGAAUCAAUGUAUCACAGCAGAACAGUUGAAGCCACGUUUGUGGCAGGGUUUGCUAGACCACAGGCAAUUGA